rnacentral:rRNA from 1 species
ACAGCCAUAGUUUAUUGGAUGUUUACGUUCCUACAUGGACACCUGCGGUAAUUCUGGAGCUAAUACAUGCACAAGCCGACGACCUUACGGAAGUCGCGCAUUUGUUAGAUCAAACCAAUCGGUCCUCCGGGACCGUAAUUUGAUGACUCUGAACAACUUAGCUGACCGCACAGUCUCGUACUGGCGGCAUAUCUUUCAAGUGUCUGCCUUAUCAACUUUCGUUGGUAGUUUAUACGACUACCAAGGUUGUAACGGGUAACGGAGAAUAAGGGUUCGACUCCGGAGAGGGAGCCUGAGAAACGGCUACCACAUCCAAGGAAGGCAGCAGGCGCGCAAAUUACCCACUCGCAGAACGCGGAGGUAGUGACGAAAAAUAACGAGGUGGCUCUCUAUGAGGUCCAUCAUCGGAAUGGGUACAAUUUAAAUCCUUUAACGAGGAUCUAUUGGAGGGCAAGUCUGGUGCCAGCAGCCGCGGUAAUUCCAGCUCCAAUAGCGUAUACUAAAGUUGUUGCGGUUAAAAAGCUCGUAGUUGGAUCUGCGCUCUGUGAGAGCGGUCGCUCGCUGAGUUGUACUGUCUCUCACGGGCUAACCAUUCGGUUUUCCCUUGAUGCUCUUCAUUGAGUGUCCUGGGUGACCGAAACGUUUACUUUGAAAAAAUUAGAGUGCUCAAAGCAGGCGAUUUGCCCGAAUAUUCGUGCAUGGAAUAAUAAAAGAGGUCCUUGUAGCCUUUUAUUGGUUAUCGCUACGAGGAAAUGAUCGAAGGGGACAGACGGGGGCAUUUGUAUUGCGACGUUAGAGGUGAAAUUCUUGGAUCGUCGCAAGACAAACUACUGCGAAAGCAUUUGCCAAGAAUGUUUUCAUCAAUCAAGAACGAAAG